rnacentral:rRNA from 1 species
GGUCAAGUUAUUAAGGGUGCAGGGCGGAUGCCUUGGCACUAGGAGCCGAUGAAGGACGUGAUAAGCUGCGAUAAGCUUCGGGGAGUUGCACGUAAACUUUGAUCCGAAGAUUUCCGAAUGAGGAAACUCACUUAGAGUAAUGUCUAAGUAUCAUUAAGUGAAUACAUAGCUUAAUGAGGGGAACUCAGGGAACUGAAACAUCUAAGUACCUGAAGGAAGAGAAAGAAAUUCGAUUCCGUAAGUAGCGGCGAGCGAACGCGGAUUAGCCCAAACCAAUAAAGUUUUCUUUAUUGGGGUUGCGGACAUAUCAUAACGAAGAGGUAUCGUAAUUGAAGAGGUUUGGAAAGACCCACCACAGAAGGUAAUAGUCCUGUAUGUUAAACGAGAAGACUUUAGAUAUGAUCCAGAGUACCACGGGACACGUGAAACCCUGUGGGAAGCAGGAGGGACCACCCUCCAAGGCUAAAUACUACCUAGUGACCGAUAGCGUAUAGUACCGUGAGGGAAAGGUGAAAAGAACCCCGGGAGGGGAGUGAAAUAGAACCUGAAACCCUGCACUUACAAGCUGUGGAAGCACAUUUCUUGUGUGACCGCGUACUUUUUGUAGAACGGGCCAACGAGUUACGUUAAGUAGCAAGGUUAAGCACUUAAGGUGCGGAGCCGUAGCGAAAGCGAGUUUUAACUGAGCGUUCAGUUACUUGACGUAGACCCGAAACCGGGCGACCUACCCAUGAGCAGGAUGAAGCGAAAGUAAAAUUUCGUGGAGGUCCGAACCCACGAGCGUUGAAAAGCUCGGGGAUGACUUGUGGGUAGCGGUGAAAUUCCAAUCGAGCCCGGAGAUAGCUGGUUCUCCCCGAAAUAGCUUUAGGGCUAGCCUCAAGGUGAGAGAUACGGAGGUAGAGCACUGAAUGUCCUAGGGGGUAUUGCACCUACCGAAGACUAUCAAACUCCGAAUGCCGUCAUCUUAUACUUGGGAGUCAGACUGUGGGUGAUAAGAUUCAUAGUCGAAAGGGCAACAGCCCAGAUCGUCAGCUAAGGUCCCUAAAUGUAAGUUAAGUGGUAAAGGAUGUGGGAUUGCACAGACAACCAGGAUGUUGGCUUAGAAGCAGCCACUCAUUCAAAGAGUGCGUAAUAGCUCACUGGUCGAGUGAUCCUGCGCCGAAGAUUUCCGGGGCUAAAACUUACUACCGAAGCUACGGCAUCAGUAAUGAUGGGUAGGGGAGCUUCCCAUACGGGUUGAAGCAUGACCGUAAGGACAUGUGGACAGUAUGGGAGUGAGAAUGUUGGCAUGAGUAGCGAGAUGUGGGUGAGAAUCCCACAGGCCGUAAACCCAAGGUUUCCAGGGGAAGGUUCGUCCGCCCUGGGUUAGUCGGGACCUAAGCUGAGGCCGAAAGGCGUAGGUGAUGGACAACAGGUUGAUAUUCCUGUACUACCGAUAACCGUUUGAGAGAAGGGAUGACACAGUAGGAUAAGCUAAGCACACUGUUGGUUAUGUGUGCCCAAGCAUUGAGGCAGUCAAAGUAGGCAAAUCCGCUUUGAUAAUGCUGGGAUGUGAUGGGGAGCGAAAUUUAGUAGCGAAGUAGCUGAUUUCACACUGUCAAGAAAAGUCUCUAUCGAGGUUAAAGGUACCCGUACCGCAAACCGACACAGGUGGGUGAGGAGAGUAUCCUAAGGCCAGCGAGAGAACUGUUGUUAAGGAACUCGGCAAAAUGACCCCGUAACUUAGGGAUAAGGGGUGCCACCAUCAGGUGGCCGCAGAGAAUAGGCCCAAGCGACUGUUUACCAAAAACAUAGGUUUCUGCUAAGUCGCAAGACGAUGUAUAGGAGCUGACGCCUGCCCGGUGCUGGAAGGUUAAGGGGAUCUGUUAGAGCAAUCGAAGCAGUGAACUUAAGCCCCAGUAAACGGCGGCCGUAACUAUAACGGUCCUAAGGUAGCGAAAUUCCUUGUCGGGUAAGUUCCGACCCGCACGAAAGGCGUAACGAUUUGGGCACUGUCUCAACAACAGACUCGGUGAAAUUGUAAUUCCGGUGAAGAUGCCGGAUACCUGCGACAGGACGGAAAGACCCCAUGGAGCUUUACUGUAGCUUGACAUUGGGUCUUGGUACUACAUGUACAGGAUAGGUGGGAGGCUUUGAAACCAGGACGCCAGUUUUGGCGGAGCCAUCCUUGGGAUACCACCCUUGUAGUACUGGGACUCUAACCAUAGGCCAUGAAUCUGGUCUUGGGACACUGUCAGGUGGGCAGUUUGACUGGGGCGGUCGCCUCCCAAAAGGUAACGGAGGCGCUCAAAGGUUCUCUCAGUACGGUCGGAAAUCGUACGUAGAGUGUAAAGGCAAAAGAGAGCUUGAUUGCAAGACAUACAGGUCGAGCAAGGAUGAAAAUCGGACUUAGUGAUCCGGUGGUUCUGCGUGGAAGGGCCAUCGCUCAACGGAUAAAAGCUACCCUGGGGAUAACAGGCUUAUCUCCCCCAAGAGUCCACAUCGACGGGGAGGUUUGGCACCUCGAUGUCGGCUCAUCACAUCCUGGGGCUGUAGUAGGUCCCAAGGGUUGGGCUGUUCGCCCAUUAAAGUGGUACGCGAGCUGGGUUCAGAACGUCGUGAGACAGUUCGGUCCCUAUCCGUCGCAGGCGUAGGAAAUUUGAGAAGACCUGUCCUUAGUACGAGAGGACCGGGAUGGACGUACCUCUGGUGUACCAGUUGUCCUGCCAAGGGCAUGGCUGGGUAGCUAUGUACGGAAUGGAUAAGCGCUGAAAGCAUCUAAGCGCGAAGCCAACUUCAAGAUAAGAUUUCCCACCGCAAGGGUAAGACCCCAGAAAGACUAUCUGGUUGAUAGGUCGAAGGUGUAAGUGCAGCAAUGUAUUUAGCUUAUCGA